AGGCCUGUAGUUUAGCUUGGAUAAAAUGCCUGGCUUCGGACCAGGUGAGCGGCGGUUCAAUGGUCACAAGUUGCGACUUGUGGUCGGGCAAAUCCGUCCAGGCCUGCCA
rnacentral:tRNA from 1 species